UACGAAGGGGGCUAGCGUUGCUCGGAAUCACUGGGCGUAAAGGGUGCGUAGGCGGGUCUUUAAGUCAGGGGUGAAAUCCUGGAGCUCAACUCCAGAACUGCCUUUGAUACUGAAGAUCUUGAGUUCGGGAGAGGUGAGUGGAACUGCGAGUGUAGAGGUGAAAUUCGAUAGAUAUUCGCAAGAACACCAGUGGCGAAGGCGGCUCACUGGCCCGAUACUGACGCUGAGGCACGGAAAGCGUGGG
rnacentral:rRNA from 1 species